rnacentral:rRNA from 1 species
AACGAACGCUGGCGGCAUGCCUAACACAUGCCAGUCGAACGAGACCUUCGGGUCUAGUUGCGCACGGGUGCGUAACGCGUGGGAACCUGCCCUUAGGUUCGGAAUAACUCCCCGAAAGGGGUGCUAAUACCGGAUAAUGUCUUCGGACCAAAGAUUUAUCGCCUUUGGAUGGGCCCGCGUUGGAUUAGCUAGUUGGUAGGGUAAAAGCCUACCAAGGCGACGAUCCAUAGCUGGUCUGAGAGGAUGAUCAGCCACACUGGGACUGCGACACGGCCCAGACUCCUACGGGAGGCAGCAGUGGGGAAUAUUGGACAAUGGGCGAAAGCCUGAUCCAGCAAUGCCGCGUGAGUGAUGAAGGCCUUAGGGUUGUAAAGCUCUUUUACCCGGGAUGAUAAUGACAGUACCGGGAGAAUAAGCUCCGGCUAACUCCGUG